CACCGCGGUUAUACGAGAAACCCAAGUUGAUUUUUUACGGCGUAAAGGGUGGUUAAGGGUAAGACAAAAAUAAAGUUGAACGCCUUCAAAGCCGUUAUAAGCAUUCGACAGGCUGAAAUCCACCUACGAAAGUGACUUUAUUUUCCCCGACCCCACGAAAGCUAGCGAAA
rnacentral:rRNA from 1 species